UGUACGUGCAACGAAGAUGACAAGUGGACAUCAAAAGGAGGGAAGUUGAACAUAGACGGGAUAGUUUUCCAGUUUCGUUUAUGAAACAUUCAUCACAGUUCAAGAAAUGAGAGGUCACCAGACACUUCUAUCAAAAGGAAUUUUGAAAGAAACACAAAAGUUUAGAAGGCAGACAAAAUGGCAGAAGUUACUACAACCACAAAGAACAUUAGGGACGGAUACAUUUUGAGGAAAAUCUUUAGAGAUAGCUUUGGUUGAACGGAAUAAUGGAAACAUGUAUUUGGGAAUAUUACAUUUACUAAGAUGAUUGUUCGAAAAGUUAAGAAGAGUUUGAAGAUGAAUAAUUCCAACUACAGAUCUGUAUGUCACUAAAAGAUCAGAUUACUUAACGACUAGUACCAGCUGCAUUAUAACGAAGCUUCAAGUUGUCUCUCGUGUGAAAAGAAAACGACCCCAAAUUAUUCUAACAGAUGACCAGUGACAAAACAUUGAACAAAAAUGUUCAGGAUUAUAUUAUAAGCGAACAAAAACGACUUAGAUGUAUUUUUGAACUGUUUGU